rnacentral:rRNA from 1 species
UACGUAGGGCGCAAGCGUUGUCCGGAAUUAUUGGGCGUAAAGAGCUCGUAGGCGGUUUGUCGCGUCUGUCGUGAAAGCUUGGGGCUUAACCCCAAGUCUGCGGUGGAUACGGGCAGACUAGAGGCAGGUAGGGGAGAACGGAAUUCCCGGUGUAGCGGUGAAAUGCGUUGAUAUCGUAAGGAACACCCGUGGCGAAAGCGGCUCACUGGGUCUUUUCUGACGCUGAUGCACGAAAGCUAGGGGAGCAAACGGG